CUGAAGAUUUAAAUAUCAGAUUAAUGUUCUCAUAGGCUGUAAAUAACUACUGGAUUUCUCCUUCUCCAGAUAGAUGACUAUACACCAUAGACGACUUUACAAAUUAUGGACAUAUUGCAUGGUGGAUGACUUGUGAUUUUCAAGAAGAGAAAUCCAAACUGUGAUUUCUACAAGGCCCCAGUAAAAAGUCAUGAUCUCCAAGGAAGCGACUGACUGAACCUUCAGAACCAGCUGUUUGAUGACCUGUAAGAGGAGUCCUCCAAAUGGAAAUUUGAGAGCUGGAACAGUCUGCAAUGGAGAGUGAUUUUCCUCAGGAGUGAUGUGAGGAAAGCGAACUCCACAAUCAGUAAGAUUGUAAAACUUUACCUCCCACUGGAUCAUCAUAUUUCUUGCUUUCAUCAGCCAUCCCUG
rnacentral:lncRNA from 1 species